rnacentral:lncRNA from 1 species
GAGCCCGAUGUCCAAAUCCGAUGCGGUUGAUAGUGAAACUGUCCGAAGGCUACAAUUUUCUGAGAUAAGCAAAGUGGAAGCCUCCCGCCCUACAAUAGCUGAGGUUGUGCAGGGGAAUCGGAAUGCACAAAUGGGUAAGCCAUUAUCAUUUAUGCCUCCUACUGAUAGAGAGGGUAAGAAGAUCGUAAAAUUAAGUGAGGAUGAUUUCC